AUUGUUCAUCAACUAUUAAAGAAGAAAAAAGGAUUUGAUUCAGUUAAAUGAAAUGCUUCUUAAAGUCUCUCCUCCAACAAGGUGUUUUCUAAGCUUCUGUCAAAACCAUACAGGAUUCCUUGGAAAGACAGAAAAACAGAGCCAACUUUGUUUGACAGCCUCAUGGUUUUUAACAUCAGGAGAGGAAUGGAAGAGUGAGAUGUAUGCUCACACAAUCAGAGAUUUGGAAUUUGAAGAGACUUUAGGGGUCACUUGGUCCAACUGCUUCAUCUCACAGAUGAGUAAACUGAGACCUAGAGAAGGAAAAGAAGUCUACCAAGGCUUUUGUGGUUCAGUCGUUUUUCAGUCUUGUCUGAUUCUUUGUGAGCUAAUUUGGGGUAAGCUCUGGAAAGAUACUGGAGUGAUUUGCCAUUUUCUUCUCCAGCUCAUUUUACAGAUGAGGAAAGGCUACCCAAGCAAUAAUGAGCAGGCCCUUUGACUCCAAACCCAUUACAGUGUCCAGUGUUCCACACUGCCUUUCAACAAAAGAGCUUGCGACGGUGAUCAAAGACAGACAGUGACGAGCCCAAAUGAAAAAAGAAAUAAUGCUCAAGGUCCUCAGCAUACUACUAUUUGUGGAUGGUGAUCAGGAUUUAGCUGGACCAGAGUAGAAGGCUCAGGAAAUGAAGUCAUAAUCAGAAUGAAGGUCUAAUGAUUGGAGGAUAAUGGUCGCAUAGCUAAGACGCUGGCAAAGAUGGGCCUCCAACCCCCAGCAGGAGCUCUUUCCUCACCACCAAAGCUGGCUGGAGGCCGCCUUCUUCAUCUCCAAGAUUGGCUCAGACUUGCAGAGAGCCAAGUACCUUCUGGAGGCCAGCAAACCUUUCACCAGCCCCGCCCACACUUGAUGACUCCAGCCCCAUGGGUCCUUGCCCCACUCACCUGCCCUCCCCUUGCUCCCUGCCUCUCUUGGCUUCCACAUGGGGACAUCACGAUCCCCUGGCCAUGUUACCCAGCCCUUUCCCCAACAGACAGCUCUUGUAAAUGCUAACUAAAAAGGCAAUAACUAAACUAACAAGGCCUCUUUCUGCACCCCCUGUCUCCUGGCUUCACCCAGAGGAAAU